UGUUUGUGUGAUAGGUCUCAGAUCAAGAUGAAUGAUUAAAAAGGAGACGUCUGAGUUCUCAAAGUGGUAAGUGGGUGCUUCGUAUGCUACAGACUGUGCUAGUUGCUUACUACAAAGCGACUGAAAACAGAUCAGAAAGUCACCGGGGGACCCCGGCCGGCGCUCUUGGUGACCUGGAACCCUGAAGUGGUGCUCAAUAAGGAUGCAUUUGGCUUUAG